rnacentral:rRNA from 1 species
CCUACGGGUGGCUGCAGUGAGGAAUAUUGGUCAAUGGACGAGAGUCUGAACCAGCCAAGUAGCGUGAAGGAUGACUGCCCUAUGGGUUGUAAACUUCUUUUAUAUGGGAAUAAACUGUUCCACGUGUGGGAUUUUGUAUGUACCAUAUGAAUAAGGAUCGGCUAACUCCGUGCCAGCAGCCGCGGUAAUACGGAGGAUCCGAGCGUUAUCCGGAUUUAUUGGGUUUAAGGGGGGCGUAGGUGGAUUGUUAAGUCAGUUGUGAAAGUUUGCGGCUCAACCGGAAAAUUGCAGUUGAAACUGGCAGUCUUGAGUACAGUAGAGGUGGGCGGAAUGCGUGGUGUAGCGGUGAAAUGCUUAGAUAUCACGAAGAACUCCGAUUGCGAAGGCAGUUCACUGGACUGCAACUGACACUGAGGCUCGAAAGUGUGGGUAUCAAACAGGAUUAGAUACCCCAGUAGUC